UACAGAGGGUGCAAGCGUUGUUCGGAAUUAUUGGGCGUAAAGCGCGUGUAGGCGGCUUUGCAAGUCGGGUGUGAAAGCCCUCAGCUCAACUGAGGAAGUGCGCCCGAAACUGCAGAGCUUGAGUGCCGGAGAGGGUGGCGGAAUUCCCGGUGUAGAGGUGAAAUUCGUAGAUAUCGGGAGGAACACCAGUGGCGAAGGCGGCGAUCUGGGAAGAUACUGACGCUGAGGUGCGAAAGCGUGGGGAGCAAACAGG
rnacentral:rRNA from 1 species